UGAAAAAAAGAGCAGAUAUGACCAUUGGUCUACU
rnacentral:sRNA from 1 species